GGGCGGGAGAGCGGCGGGGGCGCACAGGCGCCGCACCGCCCGCCGAAGGAGCAACCCCUCCCGGGAACCUCUCAGGCACCCGUACCGUCC
rnacentral:ncRNA from 1 species